GUCGAGUCGGCCUGCGCGGAAGAUGUAACGGGGCUAAACCAUGCACCGAAGCUGCGGCAGCGACACUAUGUGUUGUUGGGUAGGGGAGCGUUCUGUAAGCCUGCGAAGGUGUGCUGUGAGGCAUGCUGGAGGUAUCAGAAGUGCGAAUGCUGACAUAAGUAACGAUAAAGCGGGUGAAAAGCCCGCUCGCCGGAAGACCAAGGGUUCCUGUCCAACGUUAAUCGGGGCAGGGUGAGUCGACCCCUAAGGCGAGGCCGAAAGGCGUAGUCGAUGGGAAACAGGUUAAUAUUCCUGUACUUGGUGUUACUGCGAAGGGGGGACGGAGAAGGCUAUGUUAGCCGGGCGACGGUUGUCCCGGUUUAAGCAUGUAGGCUGAUUGUCCAGGCAAAUCCGGAUAAUCAAGGCUGAGGUGUGAUGACGAGGCACUACGGUGCUGAAGUAACAAAUGCCCUGCUUCCAGGAAAAGCCUCUAAGCAUCAGGUAACAUUAAAUCGUACCCCAAACCGACACAGGUGGUCAGGUAGAGAAUACCAAGGCGCUUGAGAGAACUCGGGUGAAGGAACUAGGCAAAAUGGUGCCGUAACUUCGGGAGAAGGCAC
rnacentral:rRNA from 1 species